rnacentral:rRNA from 1 species
UACAGAGGUCUCGAGCGUUGUUCGGAUUCAUUGGGCGUAAAGGGCGCGUAGGCGGCGGGGUAAGUCUGGUGUGAAAUCUCGGAGCUCAACUCCGAAAUUGCACUGGAUACUGCUCUGCUAGAGGGCUGGAGAGGAAACUGGAAUUUACGGUGUAGCAGUGAAAUGCGUAGAGAUCGUAAGGAAGACCAGUGGCGAAGGCGAGUUUCUGGACAGUUACUGACGCUGAGGCACGAAGGCCAGGGGAGCAAACGGG